AGGGGACAGGGAAUUUCACAACAAGUGACAAGCAUAGUCAGGAAAUAUUCAUGGGAGAAGAAUAGUAAGUAAGUUAGCUUGGCCAGAGCAUAGAAUAUAUGAAGGAGAGAAGAAUGUAAGAAGACUGUAAAAGAAGCCAAGAGAUUUGAUCCAUCACUUAUAAGCCCAGUGAAGCCACAUUUUCUGGGUCUCCUUGGUUAGACUGGGUCAGAGAACAUGCUUCUUCACACCAGGAGUCACAUGGAAAAAGAGAUGAGCAUCGUCCAAGACACCAGGGAACCAGGAGACCUCUGACUUCCUCACAUAUUUCAGUUAGAUCUAAAGAAGGCUGAUCAUGAGGCUCCUCAGGAUAUUCUUGCUGCUCUCUGUGACUCUGUGCUGCUUCUUGGAUACUAUUCAAGCUCAAGAAUUCCCCCGAGUGGCUAUAUGCCAUUAUAAAAUUCCUGGAUGCACAAGACACUAUAGACCUAUCUGUGGCACUGAUGGUCGUACCUAUGCCAAUCACUGCGUUCUGUGUCAAGAAAAUGAUAAAAGAGAAGUUCAGGUCCUCAUUCAAAAACAUGGAGAAUGCUGAGGAAGCAAGAUAUCCGGGAACCCCCACUAGGGUUGUUCCAUUGCUGGCGUACUUUCAUUUUUAAUAAAUACAUGAUAUUGAUUGCUGCUCUUCA
rnacentral:lncRNA from 1 species